GGCGGCUGGGCAGGUCUCUCACACGAUGUGAGCUUCUCCCUGUGCCCUCCUGGCACAUGCAGCCGCUGCCGGCAGAGCUGAAAGCCUCUUCUGCUUGCCUGAUGCUGCGCCGAACGUUCCCCAGGCCCCUUGGAAAUGAGAACGGAGGCCUCGCAGGGAGGAGAGGAAAUCGCCAAUAAAGGGGGAAAAAAACCCCGUGGCUGAUGCUGUGGGGAGCUGGGGAGGAACUUCCCAGAAAGCAAACGAGGGCAGAGCCCUCAGGACAGGCGAGGUCCAGGCACCCAUGGCCCCCGCCGCCAUCUUAGUUCUUAAAUGGGAGCAGCCUCAGGAAGCAGGACUGGAGAGUGGGGGCUUGGAAGACGCAGCCCCAGUGAGGCCAGUCCCGGCCCCCACCAGUGUCGUCACGGCAGCGGAGGUCGGGCUGAGAGGUUCUGCUCGCCUGCGGGUUCAAGCAGCCAGAGUUUUUUAGAAGGACACCAUGCUGUGAGCAAAAAAAAUCUACUAGCUCAGUGGGAUUUUCUUGCACAUACAGUUACUCAUCGCUAUUUAUAGCAUUAUCACUUGAAUAUCCCUGAAGAUGCAAUCAUCAGACUUUUUUUUUUUUAUUCCUGCUUUGAAGGACAAACCUGUACUUGUUUUAACAAGUCCCAUCACGGGAGCUGUUAUUCUGCACGCCCCACCCACACAACCCAGGGAUUUAUUUUCAUUUGAGAGCUUGUUAAACAUGGCAGCAGUCAGCUGAAUAAACCAGGGUUGGAGAAAGGAUUCACACCCAUAAAUCUGUGUUUUGUGAUCUCAGGGAAGCUCAACUGUCCCAAAAGAGGAACUUCCAGUGGUUUUGGCAGCAGUGGCUGAGUAAAGCUCUUCAGGAACCACCUCCCUGCUCUCCUCAGUGCUGGAUUAACGAACGUCUCCGCUAAGAGAAAUGGGGUUUCCAGGGCUGGAUCCUGCGCCUGCUGCCACGAGGCCCCUGGUUCCGACCCAGAGAACCCUCCGCGUCUCACCGUCACAAGAAACAGAAAAAGGAUUUCUGAAGACACCAACUUCGUCCCGCAGCACAAGUGAAUGACCUUCGAACAACUUGAGGCAGUCACCAACUGCGUUCGAUUCCGCAGGGCUCUUGCCAGCCGCCGCGCGCUCGCUUACAGUAUGAACAGGGUCGUGGGUCGAGGAAACAUUCUCAAAGUUGAGGCCCAAAUGGAAAUAGUAACGUAUCAUACACAGUGUAAGUUUAUAGUACACAGCUUUUUUUUUUUUAAAUGACGUAACGCAACAGCAGGAAGGAGUAGUAGUAGUUAACAGUUACUAACACUAGAAUAAUCAAAUUUGUAUGUUAUACAUAUACAGCAACUAACUGCUUUACAAAAAAAGCAAAAUAAUACAAUAUAUUGUCACAUGUAUUUACAGUGUAGUAAAUAUACUUUUCUGUCAAAUUUUACACAAAAACUAUUUACAGGUGAAUAUACUGCAUUAAAAAAAAAUUGUGGGACCAACACUAAAAGUGACUUUCUGUGGUAAGUUUGUCGCAUAACAGUAAGACGUGCUUCAUUACAUCUGAAAAAAAUUAACUUCAGAAUGAAACAGAAAAAAGCCCUAAAACCUACAACCCGGUUAGGAAUAGAGCCCUGGAACGCUCCCAGGUGCUCAGCCCACAAUACGUAUUUGAAAUGUUUCCUGUCCUUGGAAACCUCAUGCACAUUAAAGCAGAAACAUCGGCAUCAUUAACUAUUCGCAAAUACUACGGAAUUAUCUUUAAGUCAGGGAAAAUACAAACACAAACAAAAUGUUAAUCAUCUUUACAGUACUGAACUGGAGUUAGUGCGUAACGGGUAACGUGUUCUAAAACAGGGGUGUCAAACCUACAGUCCCCAGGAUGUACGGUACGUGGUCCAUGUGUUCAGACCGGGGUUUUCUGACUCUAAGUUGUCGUUUUGAAGUAGCCCGGCCGCGGGGCCGGGGACCCGAGCGGCCCCCGCAGCAGCGCCCACCCCGCAGCCCCGGGAGCCCUCGCCCGCUCCUCAGAGGUUUCCAGCCCCCACGGACACCAGCAGCUCCCUGCUGCGCUACGAGCACGAGGGGGAACGGGCACAGGUGGGAGCAGAGAACAGAGAGAGGGCGCGAGAAGCAGAACAAACAGGCAGAGCACCGGCACUGGCUGUCAGAGGGAGCGGGGAGCGAUGGGUGCGACAGUAAGGCACUGAACAACCGAUUACUACUGGAAGGUUAAUCACCGAAAGGCCGCGUUCCCCGUUCCAAGCACAGGCGGCCCAACCACGGGCACGGGGGGUAUCGCUCCUGCAGCUGGGGCCACUGAGCUGGAAUUAAACCCUGGCCCAAACUGGGCCCCUGCUGCCUAUAGCGUGUUUGACACCCCUGCCCGAAGAAAUUCUGGUCCUCUCACUGAACCACGAGUGAAAACACCAAACGGGUCCCGGACCCUCCUUCCAGGAGAGAGAGUAACGGAGGUGGCGUUGACCGAAUUUAUGAGGAGAGCUGGGACUGAGCCUGGAGUAGUUCUAGUUCCCCCAUUCAGGUAAUUUCAGCCACUGUCCAUUUGGAUUCCUCGUUCUGGGUAUUUAAGGAAUGCGUUCACGCUCAUCCCAGGACACUUUUAUCAUACAGGCAACACAAAACAGUGAAAGAGCUGCUCUGAAACGCACCCAGACACACCGACUGGGUAGUUCAUCUGGAAUUUCUCCUUAAAGCAAAGCUGCUCGGGGGAGAAGCAACUGAAAUCUAACAGCAAAUCCCCAGAGAUUGUUCUUUCCUCCUACCUACAAACAAAUCUUCAGGCUUUUACAAUUCAUUGUCAUCAGGGAAAGGGAAAGGGCCGGCAGCGCCUGGCUGGGCCCGACCCCGCGCCGAGGGGCAGAGACUGACACACCUGAUGGGUCCUGAGCUCCCGCCCCCCUCAGCCCCCCCCGCCCAUCCCGGGAGGAAGGAUGGGGCCAACUGCACCGUAACUUCCAACCCCUCCCUUUCAAGAGCGCUCAUGCUAAGUUUCCUCUUGUUUUGGCAAACUCUUAUUUGCAUAUUGAGUUUGUGUUCAUAGUUUUUCCAGGACUGUAAACAAAUUAAAGAAAUUAAAUUGUUAUUUUAUGAAUCGAUACAAUAAAGGUAUUUUUAUUUACAUAAAUGUUACAUUGUUACUGUGUGGAUACAUGUCAAUUAUGUGCUAUAUCAAUAAAAUCUGAACACUUAAUUGUACCAUUCUCUAAUAAUUUAGCUGUGGAGUUUGAUUUACUGAAAGCCACUAACAAAAUUGCACUAGAGGAUUUGUAUUUUUUUUUUUUUUUUUUUUUUCCUCUCCUUUAAAGCCACUUACAGAUUAACUUCCACCAGACAAGAGGGAUGUGGCCCUGGGGAGUGAGUCCUCGGCCCAGCGUAGCAGCAGGUCGCAGCUGAUGAGUCUUUCACAGUGAGAGCGAGUUCAGUUGUGUGGGACCCCCGAGCGUGACCCCGCUCAGACCAACCCCCCCCGGCGGUUCUGCAGCUGUCUGGGCCGACACCAGGAAUUGCACUGCAAAACUUCAGACGUAACCUGGAUUUGACACAGUGUCAGUUAUUUUUCAAUUCAUGUACCUUAAGCAAACGUUGCCGUUCCACAUCCCUGCUCGGGCAGCACAGAAGCAGCUUUGCCAGACACAAUCUCCCAGCGCUGGAAGUUAAUUCAUUACAUUUUCCCCUCCAGACCCCGCUGGUUAUUCUGCCAGGAAUUUCUCGAAGGUGCAAACUGUUGGGAAGGGCAAAACUAAAGUCUAUGCUAAAUGGAAGAAAGAAGCAAUAAACUCUCAACACUGCUACAACGACAGCAUAAUAGUCAGUUCUCAAUGAUUUUCUUUCCACUAUACAACCUUUUUUAGUGCAGUUAACGUACAGAAAAAAAAAAAAAAUUGCUUUGGAAAAAAGCCAGUUUGUCCAGUCUGGUCCAUAUACAAUCCAUGUACAUGAAGCUAUGGUCUGGGGAAUGAGAGACACUCAUGCAGCCUCCUUGUCCUCUCAAAUUUAUUGCUAAUUACUGGAAAUUUAAUCUAAUUGCCCACUUCUGGUUAAGCUCAGUGUACUGCGGCUAUCGUAAGUUUCUUUUAAGUAUGGUAAAAAAAA